GAACACGUAGCUCAGUGGUAGAGCGCCCGGCUGCGAGUCGGAGGGACGCCGGUUCGAGCCCGGUCGUGUUCU
rnacentral:tRNA from 1 species